ACGUAGGGAGCAAGCGUUGUCCGGAAUCAUUGGGCGUAAAGCGCGCGUAGGUGGCCUCAUAAGUCCGCUGUGAAAGUCAAAGGCUCAACCUUUGAAAGCCGGUGGAUACUGUGAGGCUAGAGUACGGAAGAGGCGAGUGGAAUUCCCGGUGUAGCGGUGGAAUGCGUAGAUAUCGGGAAGAACACCAGUGGCGAAGGCGUUCUGCUGGGCCGUUGCUGACACUGAGGCGCGACAGCGUGGGGAGCAAACAGGA
rnacentral:rRNA from 1 species